rnacentral:rRNA from 1 species
AGGGUAGUGACAAGAAAUAACAAUACCGGGCUCUUUCGAGUCUGGUAAUUGGAAUGAGAACAAUCUAAACCCCUUAUCGAGGAUCCAUUGGAGGGCAAGUCUGGUGAACGAUUCAACAAAAGAAAAAAAUGCUGUUGACGCCAGAGAUAGUAGGGCACCUUUUCGGUGUUAUGCCUGCUAGUCGAUGCAGCCGCUUAUUUGAUCGGGCUGGCUGCCGGCGAGAUGACCUGGAACGGGGAAGGCCUUCACCCUCCACCCAAUGGAGGACUGGUUGAUCCCGUGGCGAGCCUGUAAAGAGCGAUCUUUACGAGGCCGUCGUAACGCACGGUAAGGCAUCGGCUCACCUCAAGAUUAUGAGUGGGCUUAAGGGACGUGCUAAACCCAUCCGAUGAUAAAGGAUGCUCUGACCAUUAGCUCCCGAUCAGCAAAGGGUCAAGGGGGACGAAAGUGUUUGGAGGAAAUGCCAAACACUGUCCGGUAUCUUGCGACCUGAAAAUGUACUUCAGCAAGCAAGAACAUUGGCCAGCAGCCGCGGUAAUUCCAGCUCCAAUAGCGUAUAUUUAAGUUGCUGCAGUUAAAAAGCUCGUAGUCGGUUUUCGGGCGGGUUGCGCCGGUCUGCCUUUGGUAUGCACUGGCGUGACCCGCUUUUCUGUCGGGGACGUGCUGCUGGGCUUCACUGUCCGGCACACGGAGUCGACGCUGUUACCUUGAGUAAAUUGGAGUGUUCAAAGCAGGCAUACGCUCUGAACAUAUUAGCAUGGAAUAACGAUAUAGGACUCUGGCCUAUUCGUUGGUCUGUGGGGACCGGAGUAACGACCAAUGGGGGCAGUCGGGGGGCAUUCGUAUUUCGUUGUCAGAGGUGAAAUUCUUGGAUUUACGAAAGACGAACUGCUGCGAAAGCGUUUGCCAAGGAUGCUUUCGUUCGAUCAAGAACGAAAGUUGGGGGCUCGAAGACGAUUAGAUACCGUCCUAGUCUCAACCAUAAACGAUGCCGACUAGGGAUCGGCGGAUGUUCUUUCGAUGACUCCGCCGGCACCUCAUGAGAAAUCAAAGUGUUUGGGUUCCGGGGGGAGUAUGGUCGCAAGGCUGAAACUUAAAGGAAUUGACGGAAGGGCACCACCAGGCGUUAAUUGCUCUAGCGCAAGCGGCCUUGAAAAGAGCGCCGCUAGUCUCUCUAUGAAGAGGCGACACCGUCAAAUUGCCGGAAACUCCUGCUACGCCAGCGGUACCGCCCUCGAGCUGAAAGGCUCGCAGGACACCUCGGUGAAAAUCGAGGGCAUGGUAAAAAUCCGUUUGGAUAGGGACAAUCGGCAGCCAAGCCCUAACGUCUUCGGACCAUGGGUGCAGUUCACAGACUAAAUGGCGGUGGGUUGGCUUCAGAUGAAGCCGGCUUAAGAUAUAGUCGGGCCGCUCCACAAGGAGAGCCUGAGGGAGAAUCCGGCGACAGUCGGGGAGAGCCCUCAGGGAGUGAAUUAAUAGUCGGUGCAGCAAUGUACUCGACGGCCAGUGUGCCUCUCACUCGGACCAACCGGGAGCCUGUGGCUUAAUUUGACUCAACACGGGAAAACUUACCAGGUCCAGACAUAGUGAGGAUUGACAGAUUGAGAGCUCUUUCUUGAUUCUAUGGGUUAAAUACCACUAGCCCAUGAGAGCGGUGCGAAAGCACGCAGCUAGUUUCUGCUCGGCCGCUUUUGCGAGGCCGAGUGGGAAGCGAGACCGUCGAAUUGCGGGAAAGUCCUUAGAGCCCAAACUACCAAGCUGUCAGCCGAAAGGCGCAGUGGCCAGGUUAACAACCUCGGGUAUGGUAAAAAUGUUUGGGAUUGGAUAAUCCGCAGCCAAGCUCCUAAGGGCCAAAAGCCUAUGGAGAAGGUUCAGAGACUAAGUGGCGGUCGGUCCCUAAGUUCUUGUUACAUGCGAAUAUCUAUUGUCAUCAUCAGAAUCAGACAUUGUAAACGCUCGAGGGUAACAAGAAUGAAAGUGGCUUAAGAUAUAGUCCGGCUCUGUCGAGAGACAGCCUCAGGACGAAAGCUCACAGCAUGAGCAGGAGCCUGAGGGGGAGACACGAGACCCGUGUUUCCUAGAGUACCCGGGUGGUGCAUGGCCGUUCUUAGUUGGUGGGUUGCCUUGUCAGGUUGAUUCCGGUAACGAACGAGACCUCCGCCUGCUAAAUAGUCCAACCCGGUUUUCCGGGUUGCAGACUUCUUAGAGGGACUAUCUGCGUCUAGCAGAUGGAAGCAGGAGGCAAUAACAGGUCUGUGAUGCCCUUAGAUGUUCUGGGCCGCACACGCGCUACACUGACGCGAUCAACAAGCCUAGCCUGGCCAGAGUCCUGUAUCU